CUGAUUCAAUACACUGGCACUUAGCCUGCUAGACAUAAAGUCUGAAAUGUUUCACCGGCGUCAAGCCUGCUAGACUUAAAGUCUAAAAUGUUUCACCGGCGUCAAGCCUGCUAGACUUAAAGUCUGAAAUGUUUCACCGGCGACAAGCCUGCUAGACUUAAAGUCUGAAACAUAUCACUGGCAUCAAGCCUGCUAGGCACCG
rnacentral:lncRNA from 1 species